rnacentral:rRNA from 1 species
UACAGAGGUCUCAAGCGUUGUUCGGAUUCAUUGGGCGUAAAGGGCGCGUAGGCUGCGGGGUAAGUCGGGUGUGAAAUCUCAGAGCUCAACUCUGAAACUGCACUCGAUACUGCUCUGCUUGAGGACUGGAGAGGAGAUUGGAAUUCACGGUGUAGCAGUGAAAUGCGUAGAUAUCGUGAGGAAGACCAGUGGCGAAGGCGGAUCUCUGGACAGUUCCUGACGCUGAGGCGCGAAGGCCAGGGGAGCAAACGGG